rnacentral:rRNA from 1 species
CUACGGGGUGCUCCAGUGAGGAAUAUUGCACAAUGGGGGGAACCCUGAUGCAGCAACGCCGCGUGGAGGAUGACGCAUUUCGGUGUGUAAACUCCUUUUAUAUGUCAAGAAGAUGACGGUAGCAUAUGAAUAAGCACCGGCUAACUCCGUGCCAGCAGCCGCGGUGAAUACGGAGGGUGCAAGCGUUACUCGGAAUCACUGGGCGUAAAGGACGCGUAGGCGGGUUGGAAAGUCAGGUGUGAAAUCCUACAGCUUAGCUGUAGAACUGCACUUGAAACUUCUAAUCUAGAGUAUGGGAGGGGGAGAUGGAAUUAGUGGUGUAGGGGUAAAAUCCGUAGAUAUCACUAGGAAUACCUAAAGCGAAGGCGAUCUCCUGGAACAUUACUGACGCUAAGGCGUGAAAGCGUGGGGAGCAAACAGGAUUAGAUACCCCUGUAGUC